GAAACCAACAGGGAUUGCCCCAGUAACGGCGAGUGAAGCGGCAACAGCUCAAAUUUGAAAUCUGGCCCCUCCGGGUCCGAGUUGUAAUUUGUAGAGGAUGCUUUUGGUGAGGUGCCGCCCGAGUUCCCUGGAACGGGACGCCACAGAGGGUGAGAGCCCCGUCUGGCUGGCCACCGAGCCUCUGUAAAGCUCCUUCGACGAGUCGAGUAGUUUGGGAAUGCUGCUCAAAAUGGGAGGUAUAUGUCUUCUAAAGCUAAAUAUUGGCCAGAGACCGAUAGCGCACAAGUAGAGUGAUCGAAAGAUGAAAAGCACCUUGAAAAGAGGGUUAAACAGUACGUGAAAUUGUUGAAAGGGAAGCGCUUGUGACCAGACUUGGGCGCGGCGGAUCAUCCGGGGUUCUCUCCGGUGCACUUCGCCGCGUUCAGGCCAGCAUCAGUUCGUCGCGGGGGAAAAAGGCUUCGGGAACGUGGCUCCUCCGGGAGUGUUAUAGCCCGUUGCAUAAUACCCUGCGGUGGACUGAGGACCGCGCAUCUGCAAGGAUGCUGGCGUAAUGGUCACCAGCGACCCGUCUUGAAACACGGACCAAGGAGUCGUCUUCGUAUGCGAGUGUUCGGGUGUCAAACCCCUACGCGUAAUGAAAGUGAACGCAGGUGAGAGCUUCGGCGCAUCAUCGACCGAUCCUGAUGUUCUCGGAUGGAUUUGAGUAAGAGCAUACGGGGCCGGACCCGAAAGAAGGUGAACUAUGCCUGUAUAGGGUGAAGCCAGAGGAAACUCUGGUGGAGGCUCGCAGCGGUUCUGACGUGCAAAUCGAUCGUCAAAUAUGGGCAUGGGGGGCGAAAGACUAAUCGAACCUUCUAGUAGCUGGUUUCC
rnacentral:rRNA from 1 species